rnacentral:rRNA from 1 species
UUGUAGCCUGCUAUGGUAUAACUUAGUGGCAGAUGGUGUGAGUAAUGUAUAGGAAUCUACCUAGUAGUACGGAAUAAUUGUUGGAAACGACAACUAAUACCGUAUACGCCCUACGGGGGAAAAAUUUAUUGCUAUUAGAUGAGCCUAUAUUAGAUUAGCUAGUUGGUGGGGUAAUAGCCUACCAAGGUAAUGAUCUAUAGCUGAUCUGAGAGGAUGAUCAGCCACACUGGAACUGAGAUACGGUCCAGACUCCUACGGGAGGCAGCAGUGGGGAAUAUUGGACAAUGGGCGAAAGCCUGAUCCAGCCAUGCCGCAUGAGUGAAGAAGGCCUUUGGGUUGUAAAGCUCUUUUAGUGAGGAAGAUAAUGACGGUACUCACAGAAGAAGUCCUGGCUAACUCCGUGCCAGCAGCCGCGGUAAUACGGAGAGGGCUAGCGUUAUUCGGAAUUAUUGGGCGUAAAGGGCGCGUAGGCUGGUUAAUAAGUUAAAAGUGAAAUCCCGAGGCUUAACCUUGGAAUUGCUUUUAAAACUAUUAAUCUAGAGAUUGAAAGAGGAUAGGGGAAUUCCUGAUGUAGAGGUAAAAUUCGUAAAUAUUAGGAGGAACACCAGUGGCGAAGGCGUCUAUCUGGUUCAAAUCUGACGCUGAAGCGCGAAGGCGUGGGGAGCAAACAGGAUUAGAUACCCUGGUAGUCCACGCUGUAAACGAUGAAUGUUAAAUAUGGGGAGUUUACUUUCUGUAUUACAGCUAACGCGUUAAACAUUCCGCCUGGGGACUACGGUCGCAAGAUUAAAACUCAAAGGAAUUGACGGGGACCCGCACAAGCGGUGGAGCAUGUGGUUUAAUCGAUGCAACG